rnacentral:rRNA from 1 species
GAUGAGCGCUGGCGGCGUGCCUAAUACAUGCAAGUCGAACGCAUAGCGAAAGGUGCUUGCCCCUUUCAAGUGAGUGGCGAACGGGUGAGUAACACGUGGACAACCUGCCUCAAGGCUGGGGAUAACAUUUGGAAACAGAUGCUAAUACCGAAUAAAACUUAGUGUCGCAUGACACAAAGUUAAAAGGCGCUUCGGCGUCACCUAGAGAUGGAUCCGCGGUGCAUUAGUUAGUUGGUGGGGUAAAGGCCUACCAAGACAAUGAUGCAUAGCCGAGUUGAGAGACUGAUCGGCCACAUUGGGACUGAGACACGGCCCAAACUCCUACGGGAGGCUGCAGUAGGGAAUCUUCCACAAUGGGCGAAAGCCUGAUGGAGCAACGCCGCGUGUGUGAUGAAGGCUUUCGGGUCGUAAAGCACUGUUGUAUGGGAAGAACAGCUAGAAUAGGAAAUGAUUUUAGUUUGACGGUACCAUACCAGAAAGGGACGGCUAAAUACGUG